rnacentral:lncRNA from 10 species
GUCAAACACCCGGCUCUCCUCUCCACCAGGCUCCCACGCCCACCACACAGCCUGUAGCCCCGGCGGAGCUAUGGGCUCUGACUCCGCCUCUUUCCAAAUCCGGAGUAGUUCGUGCCACAGUCGUCCUCGGAACCCUGUGGCCCCUUCCUCACCCGUUUCAGGGCCACUUGGUUCCCACCUCCACCUUCUUAGUCUGCCUGCCCUGCUUUCCAUCUUCUUGGAAUUCGCCUUGCUGCCGCCCCGCGCCCACCCCCGCGCCCACCCCUGCCCCUGCACCGUCCCAUGCCCUUAUGGAUUUAUUCUUUACACGUAAAUAUGUCUUUCCUCUUUUUGAAAGGAUUUGGAGUUGGAACAGAGAAAUUCACUAUGGAUGAUGCUAUAUCUUUAUAUGACCUUUGGAAUAUCUGUAAUCAUCCUGAGGGCAAUACUUAUGUAAUGAAGAUGGAAGAAGAGAGAAUAUGAAUACUCCGUGCACUUUGAUCUUAUCGUUUAGCUGCUGAUCAUACCAUCCCUGGAGUCCUACUUCUGACUCCAAGUUAUGAGGUAACAAAUUUCUUUAUAGUUAAAGCAAUUUGAUUCUGGGUUUUCUGUUACUUGCAGUUGAAGGCAUCUUAAAUGGCUUAGCGUUCCCAGACUUAAAUGAUAUAGUAUCCCUAGACAAUACCGUUAUACUUUUAAGUUAUAUGAAACAAUACAUUCUCAGGCACUCAUUCAUACAACCAGCUCCC